rnacentral:rRNA from 1 species
CCGGAGUACUAUGAAUAUCUAAACAUUUAAAACUUAAAGAACUUGGCGGUGUUUUANACCACUUAGGGGAACCUGUCUCGUAAUCGACAAUCCGCGUUAAACCUGACCUUUUCUUGUUAUCAGUUUGUAUACCGUUGUCGUCAGGUAACUUUUUAGAAAUUAGAAGUUAGCGAUAAAAGCAAUUUAAUGACUUAGGACGUCAAAUCAAGGUGCAGCUAACGAAAAGGGGAGGAUGGGUUACAAUUAUUUGAUUUAUAAUAACGGACGAACAACAUGAAUAUGUUUCAAAUUAUAAGGUGGACUUGAAAGUAAAUUAGAUUAUAUAGAUAGUUUGAAUAAGGCUCUGAAACGUGU